CUUGGAGAGGGCCAUGGUGGCCAAGCCCUGGACUGGCAGAUGGGUCUUCCUGGUCUCCUGCAGGGUGUGGUGCCACCCGACGGGAAACCGUGAGCAGCAGACAGACGAGGAGCCAGAUCCAUGCUGCAGCUGUCUGUGGCCUGCAGCCACCUGCGUCUAGCUGUUACAAGACGGACACGCCUCUGCAUCUACAACAGCUACGGCAUACUACCCAUUCUGCCCCUUUGUCUGUCUGCAGGGUUCGAUCUAAAAUGGCUGCUUGGUCUCGGGUCCUGGAGGGCUCCUGAAGAUAAUAACAGGAUAUUCAUGUUUUUUGUUAUUUUUAGAUGAGAUGUCUAUUGGACAUAUUUGCUAAGUGGGUUCAUGUGAGUUACCAAUCAGUCUUGUCCAUUGCUACAGUAACUUGUGUUCACUUGAAUACAAAAUAUUUGUACAAGUUUAAACCAUUCAGGCUGGCUGUUAAACCGCCAAAGAAUCUCUGGCAUUGCUGAAGAAUUUCUGCAGUGGAUAUGCAGCAGACAUCGUGUCUAUGUUCCCUGUUGAUUUUGUCUUGUUUAUUAAUGUAGUGUCUCUAGUCUUCUUUUGUCUAGAGCUGUGGCUUUCAUAUACCCCACUGAGCUCUCUGCCAUUCCAGCUCUCACCAACAUUCUUCUCACUUCUUAAUGUCUUGCGCCUUGUUUAUUUUUCACUGGGAUCUUUGGAUUAAUUAAUGAGACAAUAAUGUUAUUCAACAUUUGAGUCGUGGUAGGCCUACAAGUAAUGAUUUGGCUAUACAACCUAAGAAUGAGUGGAAUUUACUGUGCUUCUUAUUUACAUCCAAUUGGUUAGUAAUUUCAGUUGAAUAUAUAUAUAAAAUAUGUUCCUGUGUGACUGUGACAUAUUUAUACUGUAAUUUUUAAAAUAUAAAGAGGCACUCUGCAAACUUUCAGGCAGCAUGUUAUCCUACUGGGUUGUAACCACCGAAAUCUGUACAACUGAUGUACUUAUGGCACCAUCUAGAGGACUUAAUGGGUUAUUCUGUAAAUCAAUGUCCUCCUGGGGCCCAACUCCUUUAUCAAAAUAAAACAUAACAAUAAAACCA